CCUACGGGGGGCUGCAGUGGGGAAUAUUGGACAAUGGGGGAAACCCUGAUCCAGCCAUGCCGCGUGUGUGAAGAAGGUCUUCGGAUUGUAAAGCACUUUAAGUUGGGAGGAAGGGCAGUUAACUAAUAUUUGACUGUUUUGACGUUACCGACAGAAUAAGCACCGGCUAACUUCGUGCCAGCAGCCGCGGUAAUACGAAGGGUGCAAGCGUUAAUCGGAAUUACUGGGCGUAAAGCGCGCGUAGGUGGUUCGUUAAGUUAGGAGUGAAAGCCCCGGGCUCAACCUGGGAAUUGCUUCUAAAACUGGCGGGCUAGAGUACAGUAGAGGAUGGUGGAAUUUCCUGUGUAGCGGUGAAAUGCGUAGAUAUAGGAAGGAACAUCAGUGGCGAAGGCGACCAUCUGGACUGAUACUGACACUGAGGUGCGAAAGCGUGGGGAGCAAACAGGAUUAGAUACCCCAGUAGUC
rnacentral:rRNA from 1 species